ACCCUCCUGUUCCCUUUCCCAUCGGAUCUGAACACUGGUCUUGGUGGUCGUAAAAGGAGGAAUAGUAGUACUGAAGCUGUCCACACAGUGCUAGUAUCUGCUCUAGUAUGAGGGCUAGUUUCAAACAAGG
ensembl:snoRNA SNORA61 small nucleolar RNA, H/ACA box 61